GAUGAACGCUGGCGGCGUGCCUAAUACAUGCAAGUCGAGCGAACAGACGAGGAGCUUGCUCCUCUGACGUUAGCGGCGGACGGGUGAGUAACACGUGGAUAACCUACCCAUAAGACUGGGAUAACUUCGGGAAACCGGAGCUAAUACCGGAUAAUAUAUUGAACCGCAUGGUUCAAUAGUGAAAGACGGUUUUGCUGUCACUUAUAGAUGGAUCCGCGCCGCAUUAGCUAGUUGGUAAGGUAACGGCUUACCAAGGCAACGAUGCGUAGCCGACCUGAGAGGGUGAACGGCCACACUGGAACUGAGACACGGUCCAGACUCCUACGGGAGGCAGCAGUAGGGAAUCUUCCGCAAUGGGCGAAAGCUUGACGGAGCAACGCCGCGUGAGUGAUGAAGGUCUUCGGAUCGUAAAACUCUGUUAUUAGAGAAGAACAAAUGUGUAAGUAACUAUGCACGUCUUGACGGUACCUAAUCAGAAAGCCACGGCUAACUACGUG
rnacentral:rRNA from 1 species